UUCUUUUCCGCUGUGCCACAAGGGAACUCCCACCUCUGCUUUUUGAAGCUGUUUUAAAAGUGAAUUUCCCUGUAAAUUGGUGUUUAAAAAGUUGUUCUACUUAAAAAAAAAAAAAAAAGCUGCAAAUUACAGACCAAAUGCAGGCCCUAUAUUUAGAGAUAAAGAGAUCUAGGAGUUUGCUAUGAGUCAGGGUCCUGCCCAGAGCCAACAAUGGCUAUGCAGCGACUACAGCAGAUAUUUCAGCUGUCAGACUGCCAAGGAGAGGUCCCUAGGGCCCAGACCAGGAGCUCUCUCUCUGGUGACCAACCACCUUCUAGCCUGGGACUGGCUUCCUGCUGCCUUCUCCCUCCUGUGGUCGUUCUAGGACAGUCCCUCUAAUCCCAGGGCCUGACUGCUCUGCUGCUUUGCCCCCUCUGCCAGAGACUCCUCUGCAUCCCUGAUGAGACCUCAGCCUGGCUGGUGCUUGAAGAAUCCCUGGCUUUGUGGCUCCAUCAGACUUCUCCUGGACCAGGAUAUGUGGACUUCUCCCCACCCAGUUCCACUCUCCUGAUCUCCUUUUUUUCCCCCAAGCUUCCCACUAGCUCUCUUGGCCAACCCCCUAGAGGCUGGUGGGAGGCUAGUCCUUGGCUCUUUCUAAGGGAUAAGGCAAAUGCAACCAUCCUUAUCUAGACAACUUCAUCUCAGAACUUUACUUGGCAGUGGAUACCACUUCCCUAAUCUAACCAGAAUCUUCAAUAUCUAGUGGAAGGCUCAGACCACAGAAAACAAGGCUAAAAGAUAAAGCUUCAUGCUACUCAGAAUGAUUGUUCCUGUUACAUAACUAACAUGCACAAACACACACUCACAUGCACGCACAUACGCAUGCACACACUCACUUUCCUCUGGUCCUGGGUCCCUUUCCAGGAUGACUUGUGCCUUCCAUGUGACCCGCCUGCAGAGGCUGGAGUUGUUGGCCAUGCUGCCAUCCAGCCUUGCUCUCACCCAGAUGACUGAGUAAAGGAAAAAUCAACCUCUUUGAUAAAGUGAGGAAUGUCCAACAAUAUCCCCCAAAGCUCAGGUGACACCUCUGAAAAACAGGCGUCUGAGAAGGACUCUUGCCUUCAAAUACCCGGCUGUGUCCUCUGACUCACUUUUUGCCUCAGUUUAACAGCAAUAUCUUCCUAUCCCCUGUCUUGCUUCUACCUUCUGGAAAAGAAAAAAAAAA